rnacentral:rRNA from 1 species
CAGUCGCCGCGGUAAUACGUAGGGUGCAAGCGUUAAUCGGAAUUACUGGGCGUAAAGCGUGCGCAGGCGGUUUGUUAAGACAGAUGUGAAAUCCCCGGGCUCAACCUGGGAACUGCAUUUGUGACUGGCAAGCUAGAGUCUGGCAGAGGGGGGUGGAAUUCCGCGUGUAGCAGUGAAAUGCGUAGAUAUGCGGAGGAACACCGAUGGCGAAGGCAGCCCCCUGGGCCAACACUGACGCUCAGGUGCGAAAGCGUGGGGAGCAAACAGGAUUAGAGACCCCUGUAGUCCCUGUCUCUUAUAC